GAAUAUUGGACAAUGGGCGAAAGCCUGCUCCAGCCAUGCCGCGUGUGUGAAGAAGGCCUUUUGGUUGUAAAGCACUUUAAGCGAGGCGGAGGCUACUUUGCUUACUACUCUAGGAUAGUGGACGUUCCUCGCAGACUACGCACCGGCUACCUCUGUGCCAGCAGCCGCGGUAAUCCAGAGGGUGCGAGCGUUAAUCGGAUUUACUGGGCGUAAAGCGUGCGUAGGCGGCUUGUUAAGUCGGAUGUGAAAUCCCUGAGCUGAACUUAGGAAGUGCAUUCGAUACUGGGAAGCUAGAGUAUGGGAGAGGAUGGUAGAAUUCCAGGUGUAGCGGUGAAAUGCGUAGAGAUCUGGAGGAAUACCGAUGGCGAAGGCAGCCAUCUGGCCUAAUACUGACGCUGAGGUACGAAAGCAUGGGGAGCAAAC
rnacentral:rRNA from 1 species